rnacentral:rRNA from 1 species
GAUGAACGCUAGCGGCAGGCCUAAUACAUGCAAGUCGAACGGAGUGGAGCAGCAAUGCUUCACUUAGUGGCGCACGGGUGCGUAACGCGUAUGCAACCUACCUUUUAUUGGGGGAUAGCCCGAAGAAAUUCGGAUUAAUACCGCAUAAUAUCAUUUGAGGGCAUCUGAGGAUGAUGAAAGCUUUGGCGAUAAAAGAUGGGCAUGCGUGUCAUUAGCUAGUUGGUCGAGGUAACGGCUCACCAAGGCGACGAUGACUAGGGGUUCUGAGCGGAUGAUCCCCCACACUGGUACUGAGAUACGGACCAGACUCCUACGGGAGGCAGCAGUAGGGAAUAUUGGGCAAUGGCGGAAACGCUGACCCAGCCAUGCCGCGUGCCGGAUGAAGGCCUUCUGGGUUGUAAACGGCUUUUACCAGGGAAGAACCUACCUUUGCGAAGGGAACUGACGGUACCUGGUGAAUAAGCACCGGCUAACUCCGUGCCAGCCGCCGCCGUAAGAC